AUCCUAUUAAAAACCUAGAUAUUUAUAAUCCUCAUGACAAGUUUUUGUGCCAGAAAAAUUGAAUCAACUUUCUCGUCAGUUAGACGAUCAAAGAAAGAUACCUCAAAACCAAAAUUACAAAAAACAGUCUUAAUUGCAAUCCCUAAUUCUGUGGAAUUUCGCAAUUAUGAAUCGAAUAAAUUAUACCAGAAAGUUAUCAUGUUACAAAACAUGAGCAAUUCUUCAGCCAGAUUUCAAUUAAUGGCAAGACCUAAUUAUUCUCGAUUCACUAUCAUGAUCGAACCUAAAACACAAACAGGGAGUAUUUCUCCAGGAAUGUAUAAAAAAUUGAUUAUUUUCUUCCGUUGCGAUAUCUUGGACGAACCCGAUGAAACAUUAGUAAUAAAUGUACAACAAGGACGUUCGAUAAUUGUUAAAUUACGCGGGUAUCGAGAUCCACCAUUAUUGAGAGUGAUUAACGUCCCCUAUUUCGAACAUUCAUUGAAAGAAUCGCAAACAAUGAUAAAAAAUACGGAUUGGAUUAUAAAAAUUCCAUAUCGACAAACGGAUUCUUACAAAGAGUUUACCGAUACAAGUAAGAGCUGUACAUCGGAUACAUCUACAGAGAGCAUAACGGGAUAUAGGAAAUUAAAGAGCUUUGAUUGUGGAGAAUGUCUAGUAGGUGAACAAGUUACCUUACCACUGAUAAUUAAAAAUGUCGGUGGUGAAGGAAAAUUCUUUAUUAUGAGCGAAAUAGAUUGGUGUUCGAUGCAUAUCGAGGAUGUAACUAAUAAUAAUAUGCUGAUUUUACCAUCUUUUGCUAUACGGCCUGUGUAUUUUACCCUCAAACCACAAGAGCAUAUAUAUCUGUACCUCUACUUCUUUCCUGAUGCUUAUGGAAUGCAUGUAAAUUAUAAUGCAAAGAAAUAAAAAAUAUUUUUAGGGGUUGCGCACACAAUCAAGAAAUAGGAACAGGAACAGAGAGAGAGAGAGAGAGCAUGAGAAUUUCAACCAAUUAGAAAACGAUGCACUACAGAAUACACACUUUCUGAUGGGUUGAAAUUCUCAUGCUUUCUCUGUUCCUGUUCCUUGAUUGUGCACAGCCUCUUUCUGCUAGAUAUCUUUUCUUCCUUUUUUCCAGUAUUAGAAGAAAUUUAGAGAUACACUGCAAGUGUAUGUACCUGUGGAAACAUUAUAUGCGAUUUGCAACAAUUGUUCUGUGGUAACAACAGAGAUCAUUGGAGAUGGAGUGAGAUACGAAUAAU